GGGUCAUGUGUAAGAUAAGUUUAUAGUAAAAGUAAUAUAAAGAAUUUUAGUUGCUUAUACAUAGAUUUCAUUGACCGAGUGUUAUGUGACUGAUUACAGUUUAACAGCAAUUGGUAGCCCAAUGUAGUAUGUGGGAAUAUGGAUGAGUAAAAACUGUCAGUUUUCGUAACUUAUGAAAUGACAACCCCUGCCGUGAAAGUUGACAGAUCACAGGUGCACCUCACCCUUCAACUUGUAGGUGUGUACAAAUUCCUGGUUGAUCUGUCAGUUAUCAAUGGUAAGUUCUCCAUUCUCCAUGUCCAUUUACUCAGUUUUAAGGCUUGAGGUGAAAUUAUUGUCGAAAAUUUCAUAUCUGCGUAUGUCCUUCCAGUGGCCAGAAACCUCGGAGGUGGCUUUCAUGAGCCGCAAUAGAUUGCCUCAAAACAGUAUCUUGUUCUAUCAAAGGUACCUCUUUUCCGACCAGUUUGUACAGCAUACACACACUUCGUACUUAAGUUGACGAUUUGAAUCUGUUGUAAAUAAAACACCAAUUACAGCAAUGUCAUCGUCAAACAGUUUUAAUCAACUGAGAUGGACGGUGGACCUGUAGGUGUGGAUUAAGAGGUGUUUUGACAGUGGACCUAACAGGUCACCGGUGACAAAUAUGCUUGACUGCUGAACCUGUAGGUGUGCAUUAAUACAAUGCAAAUUUGUCAAAUUUCGCGCGCUUUUUGUGUGCAUGCUCAAAGCUCAAAGAGCAUUUACUUUACUACGUACCUGUGCUAGUUAGUGCUACGGGUACGGGCUACGGGCUUAUAACCUAUUUGUAUGCAAAUCUGCUGUGAAAAUGCGUAGCUUUCUAAGUAAAAGCAAAGUUAUCAAGGUAUAAUUAACUCAUGGCAAAUGGACUACCUAAUGGAUGAGUUCCUAAGAUUAUGUAAUACAGUAGAACAAAAUAAUUAUUAGAAAAAAAACGUUGCAGUCAGUCUCUAUAUUGAAAUACCUGGAACCGACUGAUCAGAUAAAACAAUGUUAUGGUUUUGAGUAGAAGUCGAGGUAGAAGUUAAAUUAGUUUCCUGCAGUUGCUGAGGUAUCGAUGAUGAGGUGAUAGUAUGAGGAAUAGUAUUUAUCGAUGAUGUUACAGAGGAUGAGGGUUCAACAUGUGAACUGCUUGAAAACAUCUGCCCCACUUUAGUUUUCUUAGCUAAGGAAUCAUCGAUGUAGCUCUCCGCAAUUGCAGAUGAUUUCCAUCCCCCAUGUUUUUUUUAUUAAAAGGAGGUCCCCACCUUGGUUAGCAAGAUGUGUUGCAGAGGAUCGGCGGAAACAGUGCCCUGUGUAUUGCCCAGGAUUGGGCAAGUGAAGAAAUGUGGCAAUAUUUCUGGGAACUUCCCCAAUCUUGUUGAUUCCCAUUGGUGAUACCGUACAUUUACCCUUUCUGUACGUCAGGAAAAAUCGUCUAUGUAUGGUAUUGGCAGGUCUCAAUUGGGCAUAUUUUUUAAUCAAGUGUAUCCAUGGUUCGUUCGUAAUUACGAAUGUUCGGGAAAUAUUGGUUUUUGUUUUAGGGAGUGUGAUGACCACUGUAUCGGAUUUAAACUGUAUGUCAUUAACGGACAUAUUUGUUAAUUCAUCACGCCUGCAUGCGCCACAAUACCCGAUAAUUAAUAUGACCUACAAAGCAAUAAAUUUAGAAGUGAACAUGCAUGGUGGUCAUAAUACCUUCAUUGCAAGAAACAAAUCGUCGCUAGCUU